CCUACGGGAGGCAGCAGUGGGGAAUAUUGGUCAAUGGGCGAGAGCCUGAACCAGCCAAGUCGCGUGAGGGAGUACUGCCCUAUGGGUUGUAAACCUCUUUUGUCGGGGAGCAAAAGCCGGACGUGUCCGGCUGUGAGAGUACCCGAAGAAAAAGCAUAGGCUAACUCCGUGCCAGCAGCCGCGGUAAUACGGAGGAUGCGAGCGUUAUCCGGAUUUAUUGGGUUUAAAGGGUGCGCAGGCGGAUUUUUAAGUCAGCGGUAAAAUCGUGGGGCUCAACCCCAUCCAGCCGUUGAAACUGGGGAUCUAGAGUGUGCGAGAGGUAUGCGGAAUGCGUGGUGUAGCGGUGAAAUGCAUAGAUAUCACGCAGAACCACGAUUGCGAAGGCAGCAUACCGGUGCACAACUGACGCUCAGGCACGAAAGCGUGGGUAUCGAACAGGAUUAGAUACCCGUGUAGUC
rnacentral:rRNA from 1 species